UCUGUGUGCCUCCCUGCGCUUUCCCGAGGCGGGCCUGGCAUCGAAGGUUACGGCUCCCAAGACAUCGGAUAUGGACUAACUGUACAAGUGGGCACCUUAUGCAGCCCCUGACCCCAGAGGCGUGGCGCGGGAGGAGAGCGGAGCUGUGUUAGGCUGGUGGGGGAAAGGCGUGGCAGAUUGGAGCGCAAAGCACAGAUUAACGAGAGGUAUAGCAGGGAGCUGGACACCAAAGGGAGAUGGCGAGCAGAGCGCCAUAAGAAGGUCGGUUGGCACGCAGCAACGGAGGGAACAGUGCCAUUGUUGGUGCUUAUAUGACACUCUUGUGUUUUUGAAGGCGCAAAACAACUUAUGAAAUCACAUGCAUAGUGGAGCGUCCAUCCCUGAGCAUGUUGGGCAAGUUUUCUAGGUGCCACGGAUGACGGUGGCCACAACAUCCAGUGUUACACUGGGAACAAGCGAUGAGAACGUUAUGGCGCUUUUGAGGAGGCUGUCAUUGCAGAAGAGAUCAGUGUUGACUGGCAUGAAACUGACUGAUGGCAC